AUACGUAGGGUGCAAGCGUUAAUCGGAAUUACUGGGCGUAAAGCGUGCGCAGGCGGUUAUAUAAGACAGAUGUGAAAUCCCCGGGCUCAACCUGGGAACUGCAUUUGUGACUGUAUAGCUGGAGUGCGGCAGAGGGGGAUGGAAUUCCGCGUGUAGCAGUGAAAUGCGUAGAUAUGCGGAGGAACACCGAUGGCGAAGGCAAUCCCCUGGGCCUGCACUGACGCUCAUGCACGAAAGCGUGGGGAGCAAACAGGAUUAGAUACCCUGGUAGUCCACGCCCUAAACGAUGUCAACUGGUUGUUGGGUCUUCACUGACUCAGUAACGAAGCUAACGCGUGAAGUUGACCGCCUGGGGAGUACGGCCGCAAGGUUGAA
rnacentral:rRNA from 1 species